AAUCUCACCUGGCAGGGGAGACACUAUGGUCACGAAUGUAGUUUUCCCAGGAUGAGCCUCACCAAGUGGAUCCUGAUGUGCUGACGCCUGCGAUUUUCCCCAAAUAUGGGAACCGCGCCUGCAUAAUUUGUGGUAGUGGUGCCUGUGUUCGCGCUUUCCCCUG
ensembl:snRNA U1 U1 spliceosomal RNA